rnacentral:rRNA from 1 species
UACGUAGGGUGCAAGCGUUAAUCGGAAUUACUGGGCGUAAAGGGCUCGUAGGCGGCCAACUAAGUCAGACGUGAAAUCCCUCGGCUUAACCGGGGAACUGCGUCUGAUACUGGAUGGCUUGAGUUUGGGAGAGGGAUGCGGAAUUCCAGGUGUAGCGGUGAAAUGCGUAGAUAUCUGGAGGAACACCGGUGGCGAAGGCGGCAUCCUGGACCAACACUGACGCUGAGGAGCGAAAGCCAGGGGAGCAAACGGG